rfam:Prosthecobacter debontii strain ATCC 700200 genome assembly, contig: EI75DRAFT_scaffold00002.2
GGGUCGGCCGGAGUGGUCGCUCGUCGGGGUCUCGCUUGCGGGAUUCGCGGACGAGAGGAAAGUCCGGACACCGUAAGGCAGCAUGCCGCGCGCAAGCGCUGGAGGCUCCGGGGCAACCCGGCGCAAUGGAAAGUGUCACAGAAAACAAACCGCCCUCCAAAGCCUCUGGCGAUGGAGGGUAAGGGUGAAACGGCGGGGUAAGAGCCCACCGCUCCAACAGCAAUGAAGGAGGCAUGACAAACCCCAUGCGGUGCAAGACAGAACAGGAGAAAUGGCCCGCCUGGCCGCAAGUCCCCGAAAGGGGGCGGAUAACUCCGGGUAAUAGUCGCACUCUGCGCAAGCAGGGGGUGCUGCCGCAAGGCAGCGCCAGAUAAAUGACCACGCUGGAGGCCGUAAGGCUGAGAGCACAAAAUCCGGCUUAUGAAGGCCGACCCACUU